rnacentral:lncRNA from 1 species
GUACAUGUGUCUGAUAUGAAUUUUUUUUUAAUUCAGGAAGUUUGUAAGUGGUUGUUUUUUUCUUUUCUCUUCAUAGCAAAUAAUCAGGAAGAGAUUUUACUGAGGAAUAACAUAUCACAGAUGACAAGGGAAUUGUCAAGAUACUUUGAUAACAUGUAUAUUUCAUAUUUGAAGAAGAAGACAGAGGAUUACAAAAACAGAAAAGUCCUCGUCGAUACCUCAUUAGAUCUGUCUUGGGAACUGGUAGCUAAGCAAAGUAAGUAAUGUGUCAUGGGUGGUCUUUAUAUGCAAA